rnacentral:lncRNA from 1 species
AUUUAAAUUUGCCGUUACAAAAUAUUAGAAAUUAUUUUAAAUUAAGGAAUGUAUCUCCCUCAUGCAAAGCUCUGAUUCCUUUCACUGAUUUGGCUUUACUUUUUGGACCUUUUGGAUUAUAGCUCUUCAUCUUUUAUAUAAGCUUUGGAUUUCAAAUAUUUUGGCCACCAGCAUCACUGAAGAGACAUGUAUUGUCGAAAUGCGCAUCUGGUGCAAGAAAAUUGGUACCGUUAAUUUUAUUACUACCACUGGGUCGAUGCCUCUGCUGGUGGACUAUUAGUCCCCGAGGGUAUCACCAGCCCAGUAGCCAGUACUUCGGUACUGGCAUGAAAAUACGGACUGUUUGUGUUAUUUAAAUUUGCCGUUACAAAAUAUUAGAAAUUAUUUUAAAUUAAGGAAUGUAUCUCCCUCAUGCAAAGCUCUGAUUCCUUUCACUGAUUUGGCUUUACUUUUUGGACCUUUUGGAUUAUAGCUCUUCAUCUUUUAUAUAAGCUUUGGAUUUCAAAUAUUUUGGCCACCAGCAUCACUGAAGAGACAUGUAUUGUCGAAAUGCGCAUCUGGUGCAAGAAAAUUGGUACCGUUAAUUUUAUUACUACCACUGGGUCGAUGCCUCUGCUGGUGGACUAUUAGUCCCCGAGGGUAUCACCAGCCCAGUAGCCAGUACUUCGGUACUGGCAUGAAAAUACGGAUUGUUUGUGUUAUUUAAAUUUGCCGUUACAAAAUAUUAGAAAUUAUUUUAAAUUAAGGAAUGUAUCUCCCUCAUGCAAAGCUCUGAUUCCUUUCACUGAUUUGGCUUUACUUUUUGGACCUUUUGGAUUAUAGCUCUUCAUCUUUUAUAUAAGCUUUGGAUUUCAAAUAUUUUGGCCACCAGCAUCACUGAAGAGACAUGUAUUGUCGAAAUGCGCAUCUGGUGCAAGAAAAUUGGUACCGUUAAUUUUAUUACUACCACUGGGUCGAUGCCUCUGCUGGUGGACUAUUAGUACCCGAGGGUAUCACCAGCCCAGUAGCCAGUACUUCGGUACUGGCAUGAAAAUACGGAUUGUUUGUGUUAUUUAAAUUUGCCGUUACAAAAUAUUAGAAAUUAUUUUAAAUUAAGGAAUGUAUCUCCCUCAUGCAAAGCUC